UAACACGUGGGGAACCUGCCCCUAAGUCUGGGAUACCAUUUGGAAACAGGUGCUAAUACCGGAUAAUAAAGCAGAUCGCAUGAUCAGCUUUUGAAAGGCGGCGUAAGCUGUCGCUAAGGGAUGGCCCCGCGGCGCAUUAGCUAGUUGGUAAGGUAAAGGCUUACCAAGGCGAUGAUGCAUAGCCGAGUUGAGAGACUGAUCGGCCACAUUGGGACUGAGACACGGCCCAAACUCCUACGGGAGGCAGCAGCG
rnacentral:rRNA from 1 species